rnacentral:rRNA from 1 species
GACGAACGCUGGCGGCGUGCUUAACACAUGCAAGUCGAGCGGUAAGGCCCUUUCGGGGUACACGAGCGGCGAACGGGUGAGUAACACGUGGGUGACCUGCCCUCAGCUCUGGGAUAAGCCUGGGAAACCGGGUCUAAUACCGGAUAUGACUCCAUGACGCAUGUUGUGGGGUGGAAAGCCUUGUGCGGCUGAGGGUAGGCCGGCCGGCCGUACU